rnacentral:lncRNA from 7 species
UGCAGAGCCCAGCGUAGGCGUGGGGUUGCAUAGGCAGAGCCCUUUGUUCUGAAGGCUGACGAGCAGAUGGAGACCAGCUCUGAGCUCAAGCUCAGGAUGUCCAGGGGUUUCACGAGCACCCAGGGACAAAGGCUGGCAAGUGAUGAAAGGGCUCCUGCUCUCAUUUACUGCACUGGUGUUUGCAGAACUACGUUGGUGAGGAUGGAGGCUGCUGUCAUCAAUGAGCUUUUUGGCUCGGUAAUCUUGUUUGGAUUUGCCUGUUGGAUUUUAGAAGCACCCAUCUGGCCAGGAUCCUUUUUUGCCUUAACAUCUAAAUCUACGCCGCUGGUGCUCAUGCAGCAAAGCCCCAUGUGUUUUUCUGUGCUUCAGAAGGGACACUGAUGGCUCCCUCCAUUGAUCAUAGGAGAAGACUGGCGCAGCAUUGAAGAUGGAGUAGUUGCUGCAUGGAGCAGCUUGGUUACCAUCACAGGAGAUGUGAUUCCCACCAUCGUUCCCAGCCAAAAUGCAGCACCCUGGUCCUGCCAUGCUCCGAGGAAUCCAUAAGGAUCCUGUUUGAAUGGAAGAUGUUGGAUGUGUUUGUAUAUGAUGGACCCAACUGAGCCAGCACUGUCUUGGAUCCUUCUUGCGUACUGGGGUGGGAAAAGCCAUCCCUUGUGCUCCUUCUGGCCUCAGUAAUCUGCAGUAAGGGUGGCACUUCAUGGAUGAGGAGCUAACGGUAGGAGAUAGGCUUAAGCCUUGGAGAAAAUGGAUGUGGAUGGGCGUUUGGUGUGAUUUUGUGCACAAUGGCAUGAGUGGCUGCUUCCUCAGGCUCCGUCCUUCCUGCAGAGCUUCUCCCUGUGUUUCUUCCAGGGUUGCUCCAACCUCCCACCCCCGAGAGGUGUUUCCUCUCCUGUGUCACUCGUGAGGAGUGACCAGGGAGAAGGAGAUGGGCUUUGAAAAGAGCCAAGGACCAAUAGGCUACUUGGGAGGCUGGAAAUGAGGGCAUUGGGUCUGGUCACAAAACACACAGUAUUUUCUCUUAAAUGUAGACGUUAAGGAUUUAAUGGAAAGAGAGGUCAGGCUUUGACCUGACCAUCGAGCAGAGUGACAGGGAUGGCUCCUCCGUGUCCUCGAUGAGGUUUUGUUAGUCUGAAGUUUAGUCCCGGUGUCGGGUGAUGCAUUUUCCAGGGAAGCUAAUGGAUGUGCUUGCGCUGCGCUGGAGUGGUUGGCGGGGGUGGGAGCAGUGACUCUCUCGUGAGAGACAAAUGACUUCCUCUUGACAAGCAGCUAUGUUUUAACUCAGAAAAUGAUGGAUGAGUCCCAAGUAAAGACUUGCACAGGCAAACUAACAUGCAAACGUCGCAUUGUCAGGGAUCCAAAAGCAAAACAAAUUAAAAUCCCAAACCACAGUGGAAAAAAAUGAAACCUCGCCGUGAUGAUGGGCAGGAACCUAAAGUGGGCCAUGGAGAAACACUUUGGGUCCAGCAGAAUGCAUCACCCACCGCCCAAGAUGGGUUCUUCUCCCGAAGAGCCCCAUUCCCAUUAAACCAAAGCCUUCCUGUGGCAUGGGGAACGCAGCCUUAUCCUUCCGCCCCGCUGUGGUCCCUCCCAGGCCAUUGUUUGGAUUUUCCUUGGCAUCCCCCAGCAGAACUUGGCUGCCAUGUUUUGCCAAAUGUUUCCCUCGCAUUUUUCUUCUGUGCUUACCUUUACAAAAGAAAGAAAAUAUUUCAUUGUUAUUUCUUCUUUUUCAUAUGCGUACAUAAAUACUUGGCAAGGGCCGGGCACGGUGGCUGCACCCAAGUUCCUGUUGUUCCUUCUGGCACUCGUGUAUCUUAUCAUUACAUCUGGGAAUCCAGAUCCAGACUCUGGACUCACUGCCCUGGGUAUGGUGUACCUGUGGAUGGAAAAGAUGGGUUCUGCUCCAAAGAGCUGCAACUAAAGCCCGGAGGUCUCCCAUUUGGAGAUGCAGAGAUGGAAAGUGGGGGCAAAGUCCCAUUGCCCAGUUGCACAGAGGGCUGGUGGGCCCUUUUCAAGGACUUCACUAAGGCAAGAGUGAUUUUGCAUGUGCCUGAAAGAGAAUAGCUUCGGAGUUCUCACUUGUUAAAAUUUUUAUGGCUUUUAACGUUUCAUUUAAUUUGUCAUGACUUCUGAUGUCUUUAAAACAAUGCCUGAGAAAAAGCCCUGCUUUACUUAGCAUGUGGUCCCUCCACUGCAUCAAGAACUGGGACCACAUGAGGACUCUGCGGUGAGCACCAAGAACCGUGCAGGAUUCUGAGCAUCCUGCAGAGGAAUGAGGGCAAUCAAUGCCUGCAGUUUCCUCAUCCCUUCCUCAGCCUUCCCCUCUGCAGCCCCAGAUAAACCCUGGAUGUUUAUAGACCUCAACACAAUGGUUCCCACCAGGGCCGGGCGAUGCAGGGAUACGUAAGCCGCCUGGCUGGCUCUUCUUUGAUAUUGGAAAGCUUCCAUGCUUCAGAUCCUGUUGUCAGCUGCAGAUCUCCUUAUCGUUUGACUACUGAGGAUCCAGUGAUUUGACCUAUUUUUACUGAGGGUUUUAUUUAUCCCGGCGGUCAAGAGUAAAUAAGUACGUUGCCUUCUGUAACAGAGUUCAAGCUCGUUGUGUUGUUUAAUCCUGGAAAGCGUCUUGCCUGCUUGCUCCAAG